ACNCAANAAGAGCUUGCUCUCGGGUGACGAGCGGCGGACGGGUGAGUAAUGUCUGGGAAACUGCCUGAUGGAGGGGGAUAACUACUGGAAACGGUAGCUAAUACCGCAUAACGUCGCAAGACCAAAGUGGGGGACCUUCGGGCCUCAUGCCAUCAGAUGUGCCCAGAUGGGAUUAGCUAGUAGGUGGGGUAAUGGCUCACCUAGGCGACGAUCCCUAGCUGGUCUGAGAGGAUGACCAGCCACACUGGAACUGAGACACGGUCCAGACUCCUACGGGAGGCAGCAGUGGGGAAUAUUGCACAAUGGGCGCAAGCCUGAUGCAGCCAUGCCGCGUGUAUGAAGAAGGCCUUCGGGUUGUAAAGUACUUUCAGCGAGGAGGAAGGCGUUAAGGUUAAUAACCUUGGCGAUUGACGUUACUCGCAGAAGAAGCACCGGCUAACUCCGUGCCAGCAGCCGCGGUAAUACGGGGGUGCAAGCGUUAAUCGGAAUUACUGGGCGUAAAGCGCACGCAGGCGGUCUGUCAAGUCGGAUGUGAAAUCCCCGGGCUCAACCUGGGAACUGCAUUCGAAACUGGCAGGCUAGAGUCUUGUAGAGGGGGGUAGAAUUCCAGGUGUAGCGGUGAAAUGCGUAGAGAUCUGGAGGAAUACCGGUGGCGAAGGCGGCCCCCUGGACAAAGACUGACGCUCAGGUGCGAAAGCGUGGGGAGCAAACAGGAUUAGAUACCCUGGUAGUCCACGCCGUAAACGAUGUCGACUUGGAGGUUGUGCCCUUGAGGCGUGGCUUCCGGAGCUAACGCGUUAAGUCGACCGCCUGGGGAGUACGGCCGCAAGGUUAAAACUCAAAUGAAUUGACGGGGGCCCGCACAAGCGGUGGAGCAUGUGGUUUAAUUCGAUGCAACGCGAAGAACCUUACCUACUCUUGACAUCCAGAGAACUUAGCAGAGAUGCUUUGGUGCCUUCGGGAACUCUGAGACAGGUGCUGCAUGGCUGUCGUCAGCUCGUGUUGUGAAAUGUUGGGUUAAGUCCCGCAACGAGCGCAACCCUUAUCCUUUGUUGCCAGCGAUUAGGUCGGGAACUCAAAGGAGACUGCCAGUGAUAAACUGGAGGAAGGUGGGGAUGACGUCAAGUCAUCAUGGCCCUUACGAGUAGGGCUACACACGUGCUACAAUGGCAUAUACAAAGAGAAGCGACCUCGCGAGAGCAAGCGGACCUCAUAAAGUAUGUCGUAGUCCGGAUUGGAGUCUGCAACUCGACUCCAUGAAGUCGGAAUCGCUAGUAAUCGUAGAUCAGAAUGCUACGGUGAAUACGUUCCCGGGCCUUGUACACACCGCCCGUCACACCAUGGGAGUGGGUUGCAAAAGAAGUAGGUAGCUUAACCUUCGGGAGGGCGC
rnacentral:rRNA from 2 species